AUUGAACGCUGGCGGCAGGCCUAACACAUGCAAGUCGAGCGGCGGCGGGAAGUAGCUUGCUACUUUGCCGGCGAGCGGCGGACGGGUGAGUAAUGUCUGGGAAACUGCCUGAUGGAGGGGGAUAACUACUGGAAACGGUAGCUAAUACCGCAUAAUGUCGCAAGACCAAAGAGGGGGACCUUCGGGCCUCUUGCCAUCAGAUGUGCCCAGAUGGGAUUAGCUAGUAGGUGGGGUAACGGCUCACCUAGGCGACGAUCCCUAGCUGGUCUGAGAGGAUGACCAGCCACACUGGAACUGGGACACGGUCCGGAAUCCUACGGGAGGCAGCAGUGGGGAAUAUUGCACAAUGGGCGCAAGCCUGAUGCAGCCAUGCCGCGUGUAUGAAGAAGGCCUUCGGGUUGUAAAGUACUUUCAGCGGGGAGGAAGGUGUUGAGGUUAAUAACCUCAGCAAUUGACGUUACCCGCAGAAGAAGCACCGGCUAACUCCGUGCCAGCCGCCGCAGUAACAC
rnacentral:rRNA from 1 species